UUAUUACUCUCUCCGUUUCAAAUUACUUGUCGCAAGUAUAGAUGUAUCUAGAUGCAUUUUAGUUUUAGAUACAUUCAUUUCUACUAUGAGUAAUUUGGAAUGGAGGGAGUACAUU
rnacentral:pre_miRNA from 1 species